rnacentral:rRNA from 1 species
ACGCUGACAGAAUGCUUAACACAUGCAAGUCAAUGGGGAAACGGUGCUUGCACCGCGAUAACCAUGGCGGACGGGUGAGUAACGCGUAAAGAACUUGCCUCUUAGUCUGGGAUAACAGAUGGAAACGACUGAAAAGACUAGAUAUUAUUAAAGCUUCGCAUGAAGCUUUAAUGAAAAGAGAUGCUAAGAGAGAGCUUUGCGUCCUAUUAGUUAGUUGGUGAGGUAACGGCUCACCAAGACGAAGAUAGGUAGCCGGUCUGAGAGGAUGAACGGCCACAAGGGGACUGAGAUACGGCCCUUACUCUUACGGGAGGCAGCAGUGGGGAAUAUUGGACAAUGGAGGAGACUCUGAUCCAGCAAUUCUGUGUGCACGAAGACGGUUUUCGGAUUGUAAAGUGCUUUCAGCAGGGAAGAAGAAAGUGACGGUACCUGCAGAAGAAGCGACGGCUAAAUACGUGCCAGCAGCCGCGGUAAUACGUAUGUCGCGAGCGUUGUCCGGAAUUAUUGGGCAUAAAGGGCAUCUAGGCGGAUAUACAAGUCAGGGGUGAAAACUUAGGGCUCAACUCAAAGCUUGCCUUUGAAACUGUAUAUCUAGAGUGCUGGAGAGGUGGACGGAACUACACGAGUAGAGGUGAAAUUCGUAGAUAUGUGUAGGAAUGCCGAUGAUGAAGAUAGUCCACUGGACAGCAACUGACGCUGAAGUGCGAAAGCUAGGGGAGCAAACAGGAUUAGAUACCCUGGUAGUCCCAGCUGUAAACGAUGAUUACUGGGUGUGGGCAUGAAGAGUGUCUGUGCCGAAGCUAAUGCGAUAAGUAAUCCGCCUGGGGAGUACGACCGCAAGGUUGAAACUCAAAGGAAUUGACGGGGACCCGCACAAGCGGUGGAGCAUGUGGUUUAAUUCGACGCAACGCGAGGAACCUUACCAG